UUCUCUCACUAACCCUAAAAGUCCAUCCUCAUGAGUCAUUGCCGCUUCUACUUCUAGGGUUUCUUUUUUUUUUUUUUACGACGUUGCUGCAAAACCAGAGCACCCUGUCCCCAAGGAACCCUCGCAAAUUGCAGCGGCGCUUCGAGCUCGAGAUUAGAGAAGAAAAAGAUUCAACCUUUGUGGAAGAGGACGGAAAACCCAGAACGAGAAGACAAAUCGCGCGAACUAAGAAGGAGAAACCUAACUCCGUUCCACCUUCAACCCCAUCUCCAAAGAGUGAAGAAGAGAAUGGUGGUAAUCUGGACCAUGUUGGACAGGUGGUGAGUGAUUUGAUCAUGUGGAAGGAUGCGUCAAAGUCAACCUUUUGGUUUGGUUUUUGUUCUCUUUGUCUCUUGUCUUCGUGCUUUACUCAAGGACUCAACUUUAGAAAUGAGGUUGAAGAAAAGAGGGAAAUCAAGCUGACAGAGGAUGACAUUUUGCGUCUUAAACUUUCCUUGUCUUUAUUUAAAUUGUCCGUCAAUUUGUGCUUGGGUUUUCUUAUAAUUUGGGGUUGAGUUGUUGUUUUGUCAUUUACUUUUGAGUAGGUAUGCAACUGCCAGUGCACCUCUGAUGGGCUUCUUCUGCUUUGUGGAGGGAGGGACGUCAAUAGUGUUAUACAUUAACUAUCUAUUCCUCGGAGAUUAUGUUGAUAGGGGCCAACACAGCCUGGAAACUAUAAGCCUUCUGCGUGCUCUAAAGGUUGAAAAUAUUCAGCGUCCAAUUACGAUGGAAGCAUGAUCAAUUGUGCUUAUGGAUCUAUUAUGGUCUGAUCCUACGGAGAAUGACAGUGUUGAAUGGCUGCGGCCAAAUGCUAGGGGUCCAGGAUUAGUCACUUUUGGGAGAUUGGCAGAUUAUAUUGGAUUGCCCUGUCCGCAUAGCUCGAGGUUGCAAGUAUUGUGUUGCAGAUCAUAGAUCUUCUUGCCUAGUCAAAAUUAAAGAUGACAAACAGCUCUCAAGGGUGUUUCAGGUGACACUAAGCAAUUCGUUUAAUUUAAUGUUACCCACAAUGAAAUUUAAGCUUCAAGUAAGGCAAGCUCGAAGGAAUCAGAACGAAUUGAUAGUCUAUUCUAUUCAUAUGUCAAUGGGUCUAUCGGGUUGAUUGAGUAAGUGUCCUUCAUCCAAGACUGUUUGUUUUCUUUCCUCCAUUCAAUAUGCAUAUAUCAAAUUGCAUUAUCCUGUUGUUGUUUUCUUAAUUCAAGUUUCAAACCUUGGACAUGGAUCCAGUGGCAGAUCUAGGACAAUCUAUUUAAAGAAUAAAAAUUAACAAGUAUUAUCAUGAAAGGAGGGGAAAAUUAAGGGCAGGGGGUUCAAAUAUGCAAAAUUAGGAGGGACAAAAUAUUGGAUUGAAAGUGAGGGGUGCAUGUGCAGCCCCUCAUUUAAGUGUGGAUGCGCCACUGCAUGAAUCUGUUGGGGAUAAAUAACAUUCAAUCAACUAUUACAUACUGUUAUAAAGGACCUGUUAAGGUGUAUAUCUCAUUUAAUGUAGCUAGGUGAUUUUCACAAGUAGUUAUGAGCAAGAUUUUGGGGGGUAUAUGCACAGACAAAAUGACAAUAACACCCAAGUCCUAUUAUACUGAAAUACUCGGACUAUAAGGUUCGUUCUGUGUAUAAAUAUGAUAGUAACGUAAUAGGGUAAGUAUAAAAAAUUUGAUCAACUCUUGUAUUAUCAAGCAUUUGGUGUGCGUAGUGUAAGUGACUUAAUUGUAUAUAUAUAUGACUAUCUGCUAUGACUAUACAACUACCUGCUGCCUGUUGCUUUUUUUCUUUGGUAUCUCACCCAAUUCCUCACAGAAACCUCCAAGCCUGAACCCAACUGACCCCUCACUUCCAGUUCAGCAGUUUAUUCUCUUCACUCUCUUCCUUCACCCUACCUCUCCUGCUAUGAUCAAACUAUUGUGUAGGGUUAUGGUGAUUGACAUGCUUCUCUUCAAGUAUAUCAUGUUUCCCAAUGUUGGCAAUGGACACUCACCUAGAUGCCAUGAAUCCCUUCACAGUGUGGCGUGGACUAGCUUCUAGCUUGUGAUGUAAGUGUGGCAGUGGAAACCAGAAAACAUAUAUACAAGCAAGGUAGUUUCUUGUACUUAUUCAUUAACUAUUUUGAUAGUUGAAAUUUGACAUGAGUUUAUAAAUUAAGUCUCAUAUGAGACAUUACCUAGCUAGGACGCCACAAAAAUUUCAAGAAAAUAAUAAAUAAAAAAACAACAUUCUACAUCAGUUAUGGAGGUACAAACGAUGUAGAAUGUCCACAUUCUACAUCGGUUAUACCUGCAGAACCGAUGUAGAAUGUGGACAUUCUACAUCGUUUAUACCUUCAAAACCGAUGUAGAAUAUCCAUAUUCUACGUCGUUUGUAUCUUCAGAACCGAUGUAAAAUAUCCACAAUUUUAAGACGGUUCUUCAACUGAUGUUGUCAUUCAACGACAAGGAUCUACCACCACGCGUCAUAACCGAUGUAAAAUGGUCAUUAGAACCGAUGUAGAAGGCCUUUUUUUAGUAGUGGGGUAGGGACAUUUGGUUAUCAAUUUUCAUUAUGUCUUAAAUUUGAAUUGUCAUUUAUGUAUGCCAAAAAGUAUUAUAAAAAGAAUGGGACAAUUACAAUCUGUUAAGUACAUUUAUAUUUUUUUAUUUAAUUACUACA